GUCUCCUUGGUGUAGUUGGUUAUCACGUGGGUCUCAUAGGCCACCGUACUAUGACUGCUGUUUUACAGCGGGGAAUCCCAAGGCCGCCAGUUCGAGUCUGGCAGGGGACA